AGUGAACUAGUACCGUGAGGGAAAGGUGAAAAGUACCCUGAAUAAGGGGGUGAAAUAGUACCUGAAACCGUGCGCUUACAAGCGGUCGGAGCAACUUCGUGUUGUGACGGCGUGCCUUUUGCAUAAUGAGCCUACGAGUUACUGUUGUUGGCAAGGUUAAAUGAUUAAGUCAUGCAGCCGGAGCGAAAGCGAGUCUUAACAGGGCGCUUAGUCAGCAGUAGUAGACGCGAAACUUUGUGAUCUACCCAUGAGCAGGGUGAAGUGUAGGUAACACUACAUGGAGGCCCGAACCAGUAAACGUUGAAAAGUUUUUGGAUGACUUGUGGGUAGGGGUGAAAGGCCAAUCAAACUCGGAAAUAGCUCGUACUCUCCGAAAUGUAUUUAGGUACAGCCUUGAGUUAAAGUGAUAUAGAGGUAGAGCUACUGAUAGGGCUAGGGGGCUUCACCGCCUACCAAACCCUGACAAACUCCGAAUGCUAUAUCAUGUUUCUCAGGAGUGAGGGCAUGGGUGCUAAGGUCCAUGUCCGAGAGGGAAACAACCCAGAUCAUCAGCUAAGGUCCCUAAAUGUAUGUUAAGUUGUUCAAACGUGGUCCGAUUGCUUAGACAGCUAGGAUGUUGGCUUGGAAGCAGCCAUUCAUUUAAAGAGUGCGUAACAGCUCACUGGUCGAGCGACAGGGCAUCGAUAAUAAUCGGGCAUCAAGUAUAGUACCGAAGCUUAGGGUCCCGACGUAAGUUGGGACGGUAGGGGAGCAUUCUCUUUGCAGAGAAGGUGUGCUGUGAGGCAUGCUGGAGCGUAGAGAAGCGCAAAUGUAGGCAUAAGUAACGAUAAAGCGGGCGAGAAACCCGCUCACCGAAAG
rnacentral:rRNA from 1 species